CCUACGGGUGGCUGCAGUGAGGAAUAUUGGUCAAUGGACGAGAGUCUGAACCAGCCAAGUAGCGUGAAGGAUGACUGCCCUAUGGGUUGUAAACUUCUUUUAUCUGGGAAUAAAAUGUUCCACGUGUGGGCUUUUGUGUGUACCAUAUGAAUAAGGAUCGGCUAACUCCGUGCCAGAAGCCGCGGUAAUACGGUGGAUCCGAGCGCUAUCCGGAUUUAUUGGGUUUAAAGGGUGCGUGGGCGGGCAUUUAAGCCGGCGGUAAAAUGUCGGGGCUCAACCCCGGCCUGCCGUCGGAACUGGGUGCCUGGAGUGGGCGAGAGGUAUGCGGAAGGCGUGGUGUAGCGGUGAAAUGCAUAGAUAUCACGCAGAACACCGAUUGCGAAGGCAGCAUACCGGCGCCCUACGGACGCUGAGGCACGAAAGUGCGGGUAUCGAACAGGAUUAGAUACCCUUGUAGUC
rnacentral:rRNA from 1 species